GAAAUGCGAUAAUUAAUGUGAAUUGCAGAAUUCAGUGAAUCAUCGAGUCUUUGAACGCACAUUGCGCCCCCUGGUAUUCCGGGGGGCAUGCCUGUCCGAGCGUCAUCGCUGCCCUCAAGCACGGCUUGUGUGUUGGGCUUCCGUCCCUGGCAACGGGGACGGGCCCAAAAGGCAGUGGCGGCACCAUGUCUGGUCCUCGAGCGUAUGGGGCUUUGUCACCCGCUCCCGUAGGUCCAGCUGGCAGCUAGCCUCGCAACCAAUCUUUUUAACCAGGUUGACCUCGGAUCAGGUAGGGAUACCCGCUGAACUUAAGC
rnacentral:misc_RNA from 1 species